GUUACACCAGUAACCUUGUGUAUAAUUACUAACUUGCUAACUUGGAUUUGCGUCUAAAUCUGAGGCUGACGCUCAAUCUUAUUAAACAUGUUUUCUGUAGUAUAUUAGGGAUACAGACUGUUUGUAGUCCAAUCUGCAGCAGCGAGAAAAGUGGGGAUCAAAGGAAGAAGUCACGAGUGUCUGGACUGGAGGUUACACCGGUAUCAGCUGAGCGCAAACUCACGCAGGUGUAUUGCUGGAGUGAACGCCGGAGGGUCGCCGAGAUCAUUAUCCGAGCGCAGGACCAGCGCAAAGUCGCGUGUUUGUCUCAGGAGUGAAUGGGAAGUGCGGUUUACCUGGAUGCCUUCUUACCUUGAUGAAAAUCCACCCAAAUCCGCUGUUUGAAACUCUGUCCCGAGUUCCCAAGCCGAGCUGCCGCCUGGAUGGCUCACGGUUUUCCAUGACGACACACACACACCCAUCACCUCCACCCAUCACCUACGCCACAUUCGUCACUCGCAUACCGCAACAAACUCCCCUUAAUGAUGUGCGGGACCUGAUUGGAGUAAAUUGAAAGUCCAGAAAACCUAGCCAUUCAGUUGUGUGGGAUACUGCAGCAUCUCCUUAAUCUGAUUCCAUUGCUGUUCAUUUUUCAUCUUUUAUUUAUCAGCAUUUAUUUGAGGUGUAGAGUCAAUAUUCUGAAUCACAGAAUCAUUUUAUAUGACAGCUUUCAAAUUUCUGAUCCUUUGCUCUGUUUGCAGACCAGAAUAAACUUUAUUCUAUAAUGGCUACAAAAUAAGUUUACAAAUAAAAUUGUUUAUAGAUAAAUAUACAUUAAUGUAUAUUCUUUAAUCUACAGGUACAGAUAUACAGGUAUAUACCAAUGUAUGUAUUUAGUACAUACAUUGGUGUAUAAUAAAUCAUUGAUGAAAAUGGCAGUAACAGUAGCAAUGGCAUUAUAUCUGACUGUUCAAAGUACACACAGUGUAUUUACAGGUUCUAUUACAUUCUCUAUCUUCUAUAUAAGAAUUAUUCUUUACUACACACUGAUGUAUUAAACCCAGUAUUUGAACAGACCCUCUUUGACUUUCUCCUCAUCACUGUGUUAUUUGAUAAAACAUUGAAACUGGUGUUAAAUUUAAGGUGACAAAGUCAAAGUGGGUGUGUUACAAACAGAGCAAUAAAAUUGUGUUCAUCUACUGUUUAGUCCUCUGACUCCCCCUAGUGAUUAAAGCUUAGCAUUUCUGUAAUGGUGGCCAAGUUCCAUAGCACUUUGUAAACAGUACUGUGGCAUACAGUCGAGCCCAUAAUCAUCAUCAUCUAACAAAACUACAAAUGUCCAGCAGUCAGAGUGUAAAUGCUGGGAAUUGGAUUCAUCAAUUCUGUAGCUCAGCUAGUCUACAUAUUCCUCAGAUGUUACUAAGUGUUCUGCUGAAUCACUUUUAUGUAUCAGAUUUCUAAAUUCUGACCCUUUGCUCUGUUUGCUGUUGAUAUGAGGACUGAUUUGUGACAUGAUGAUAUGUGUGGUUAUGAUUUGUUAUGGAUGAACAUAAAACUUGUAAAAUGAAGUAAAA